rnacentral:rRNA from 1 species
UGGGGAAUAUUGGACAAUGGGCGGAAGCCUGAUCCAGCCAUGCCGCGUGUGUGAAGAAGGCCUUUUGGUUGUAAAGCACUUUAAGCGAGGAGGAGGCUACUUGGAUUAAUACUCUAGGAUAGUGGACGUUACUCGCAGAAUAAGCACCGGCUAACUCUGUGCCAGCAGCCGCGGUAAUACAGAGGGUGCGAGCGUCAAUCGGAUUUACUGGGCGUAAAGCGUGCGUAGGCGGCUUCUUAAGUCGGAUGUGAAAUCCCUGAGCUUAACUUAAGAAUUGCAUUUGAUACUGGGAAGCUAGAGUAUGGGAGAGGAUGGUAGAAUGCCAGGUGUAGCGGUGAAAUGCGUAGAGAUCUGGAGGAAUACCGAUGGCGAAGGCAGCCAUCUGGCCUAAUACUGACGCUGAGGUACGAAAGCAUGGGGAGCAAACAGG